rnacentral:lncRNA from 1 species
UCAGCUCCUGACAACGCCCACAGAAAUCCCUAUCAUUUUACUUGCCUGCACAUGCAGAAAUGAAGAAUGUAGAAGAACUUCAGUAUGGCUAAAGUGGUGGCAUUUCCAGCUGGGUAAAACUAGGAAGGGAUUUCAGAGUGGUUGCAGGAGGACUAGGGAGUGAAUGUGGAACCAAUAGGAAAUGAGCACCAGGCUCCCAUCAGAAAAAUGUAGUGAAGCUGCUGCCAUUCUACAUUUGCCCCGGAUGGAACUCCGUGAUACCACCUCGCUUCACGAUAUUUCACAUUGCCUGAUGGAACCCAAAGAAACCAG